GGACUCGUCCUGCCUAGCGCUGUACUCCACUGCCAGGCUGACAUGCUUGGCCCUGUUUACUCACUCCACAGCCGUGUUUGACCGGGAACAGCAUACCCUCAACCUCCCAGCAGUCAACAGCAUCACCUACGUCCUCCGCUUCCUGGAGAAACUCUGCCACAACCUUCGUAGUGACAAUCUGUUUGGCAACCAGCCCUUUACACAGACUCACUUGUCACUCACUGCCAUAGAGUACAGCCACAGCCACGACAGGUGAAACCUUUGUCCUGGGGAAUAGUCUGGCCCGCUCCUUGGAACCACACUCAGACUCAAUGGACUCUGCCUCGAAUCCCACCAACCUUGUCAGCACCUCCCAAAGGCACCGGCCCUUGCUUUCAUCCUGUGGCCUCCCACCAAGCACUGCCUCAGCUGUGCGCAGGCUAUGCUCCAGGGGAGUGUUAAAAGGAUCAAAUGAAAGAAGGGAUAUGGAAUCAUUUUGGAAACUAAAUCGUUCCCCAGGGUCGGACCGAUACCUGGAGAGCCGCGAUGCCUCUCGACUGAGUGGCCGGGACCCCUCCUCAUGGACAGUCGAGGAUGUGAUGCA
rnacentral:sRNA from 1 species